UGAACGCUAGCGGCAGGCCUAAUACAUGCAAGCUGAGCGGCAACUUUUGUAGCAAUACGGAAGCUAGAGUAGCGUAAGGGUGCGUAACACGUAUGCAAUCUGCCCGCAACAGGAGUAUAGCUCUUCGGAAGGGGAAUUAAUGCUCCAUAGGAAUAUUGGGGGGCAUCCUUUGAUAUUUAAACCUGAGGGGGUUGCGGAUGAGCAUGCGCAUGAUUAGUUAGUUGGUAGGGUAACGGCCUACCAAGACGAUGAUCAUUAGGGGAACUGAGAGGUUGAUCCCCCACACUGGCACUGAGAUACGGGCCAGGCUCCUACGGGAGGCAGGCAGUAGGGAAUAUUGGUCAAUGGGUGAGAGCCUGAACCAGCCAUGCCGCGUGCAGGAAGAAGGCCUUCUGGGUUGUAAACUGCUUUUAUCUGGGGAUAAAAACACUGUGCGCAGUGGAUUGAAGGUACCAGAGGAAUAAGCCACGGCUAACU
rnacentral:rRNA from 1 species